GCGUGCAGGGCGUUUUGCCCAAUCCGCACCGCGCGCUCCGCACCCAAUCCCCCGUCCUCUCGUCUCACUCCCGCACCAGCCGUCACACAUCCUAGGCCUCCUUGCGCUUCGUUCCCCGCUCGCUCGUCCCUUGGUUCUCCUCAUCCCUCCUCUGCUCCGGCUGCUACGCCGCCUCUCCCUCCACAACGCGACCAGCUCGAGCUCCACCUCCUCCAUCUCAAGGAGACGACUUCACAAGACGUCCGGCGCCGUCACCAUCGUCCUCGGCACAAGUGAAGCACGGGAUGCUUGCUGCGUCGCCGUCGUCCUUUCUCUCGCUGCAACCACCACCCCGACCGAGCCAUCCCCGUGCUCUCGCUGAGCCUUCCCCUCCGGGCUCACUGACCCAGGUGGCGGAGAAGGAGAGGGUGAGCUCGAGGGGCAGGCAAGGGAGGAGGGCGUGACGGGGUCGGAUCUGGUGGCGGCAGAUUGGAGCUCGAGCUCGAGGCGGAGACAAGGAAGGUCGGAAAAUGAAGAGACGGGAUGAAGGUGCUCGAGGCGAAGGACCACUCGUCGGCGAGUUCUAGCUGGAGGCGGCGAGAUCCCUCUCCCAAUCUCUCAUUCUCUCGAUUUUUUCACACGCGCGCACCCAAUCCCAUCCUGGUCUCGCCUCAGCCGCCCCCGCACAAACCUUUUACCCCUUUUCUUCUCGAUCCCCACAGCCGCUGCAACCCUCCCUCCCCACCUCCCUUGUCAGCCGCCGCCGCCACUCCCCCUCCCUCUUCUCUAUCGCCGGCGGCCAGCUCAUCCCACUGCCUCAUCCUCGCCGCUGACCACGGAUCCGCCAUGGACGGAGUCACGUCUUCGCCUUCGCAGGCAGCACUGGCGGACGAGCGCACACGCAUGUCCUCUUCCUGGUGGAAGGUAACUCGAGCAUGGGAGUAGUGGCCACAGCUGGGCACCAUGGGUUGGCCGAGGUGCUUCAUGGUGAGGAACAGGCGUGUCAUCUUCCAAUUCGUCCUCCCCAACCCGAUGUCUACCAUGAAUUCCAGCACAGUUUGAAGCAGCAAAGGGAGGGAGGACCAAGAAAACAUAGGUACUCUUCUAUCUCUUUGCGCGCCAUCUUCCAAUUCGUCCUCCCCAGCCCGAUGCCUACCAUGAAUUCCAGCACAGUUUGAAGCAGGAAAGGGAGGGAGGACCAAGAAAACAUAGUAAGCCAAGGUGGAGGUUGGGAAACAAAGAACUUGCCCAACUGUGGAAAUGGGCAGAACUAAACCCUGUAUGUUUUAGCUAGAACUUCCCGCUAUUAUCCUAUUUGAAGGAGCAACAAUGCAUUAAGCGCAAAAAAUACGUCAGUUAGGCCUUUUUUUGUCUUACUGUCCAAUUUUACUUCUAUAUACAAAUGUUAAAAGAGUCUGAGUGGGGACACUCUAUUUGGAAAGGGAUUUUGUACAGUUUUUCUGCAAGUUACUACCUCAUUAGUGGACUGGCCUACAUAGUAUUCAUAAAAAUUAAUCAUCCAAUUCCCUGUAUGUGUCCUUGGUCACAUUUUUUGUCUGUUCAAUUUUUGGAAACCCACAUCUUAUUUGAAUUGAAACUGCUGACUGCUUUGACUGAUCCUGACCGAGUCCACACACCAUCACUUACAGAAUACUGGAAGCCACUUGCAGAAGAUGUAAACUCUUUACCUUUUCUUUCAUAGUUACUCCCUCCGUCCCAAAAUAAGUGACUCAACUUUGUACUAGCUUUAGUACAAAGUUAGUACAAAGUUGAAUCACUUAUUUUGGGAUGGAGGUAGUACUUUGCACCAAUGGUUCUAAUAUUGGGUUUUCAAGGUAAACUUGCAGAUGGACACAUCUGCCAGAGAGACGGCGGCCAUGAGAGCCGGAAGAUCACAAGAGAUCGACCUUUUGGGUAGUCUAAUACUUCCUAUAUGGGCACAUAGAAAAGCCACUACGUAAGUAGUUCAGUCUUUUCUUUAAAAACUGCUUUCUCUUACUACACAACCAGGCUCAAUUCAUACGUAUGUAAAUUUUACAUCAUACUUCUUACCUUCCCAAAACAAGGGUAUUAUUUCUCUCCUUCCUGAAUCAGUGUUUCAGACCUUUUUUGAGUUGAGAAUCUCACCUGCAGCACAUCAAUUGUCUGUAAAUAAAUGUAACGUGAAUCACUCUCCAAAAUCCUUGAAACUUGAGCUUCGACGAAUAUGAAGGUCUUUGUGUUGGCAUACACUCCUUUAUUCCAAAUGGUGCUGAUAUAAAAACACCACCAGGGAUUCCAUGUGUACCAUGUAAGUCCAUAAAAACAGCAUCGAUAUAUCAGCAUACUAAUGUGCUGAUCUAAAAACGUUUUUUUCUAAGUGACGGUUUCGAGUCGGCAAAAAUACAGUGUAUGUCCAUGAUGUGAUGGCAACUGAGUAGCCAUGUGUACAGGGAAGGCAUCAGUCUAUGUCGAAAAACACCAGCGAUUUUAUCCUAAUUGUUAAUGAAAUUGUUGUUUAUUGCUUCAUAUUACCAAUUGCACCUGCUUACAGAUAUCCUUGAGUUUACUACCUCCUGUCCUUAGAAGCAUCAGUUUGUCCUUAUUUUUUGUAUGCUCUGUUUCAUCUAAAUUGCGUACAUCCAUUUCCAACAGAACUAGGGGAGUCCGUAUAAAUUAGAUAUGUUCCUUUUCUUCUCAACAGGUGUCUAUUAUGAGUACUUUAGACAUGAUUAAGAAUGGUACUGGAGUUUGCCUAUCUAUCAUGAUUUUUUAGUUCUGCUUAGUUGAUGGCCUCACGUAAUGUGCCUCCAUGGAUGGAGCUUUCCGGGUCUGCCUUGUUGAAUGUUCUACCAUGGAUGGAGCUUUUGCUGAUACCCUUUCUGAAUAACUGAUAUUUAUUGUACCUCAUCUUCGCUCCUGGUUGGCGGGGAACCCCUCCUGGUCGAGCCCCUAGCCCCCCACCUUGGCAGCUGCCUGGAGAGGAGGAUAGCUCGAGGACAACUCCCAAUGUGCCGAGGAGAUGGGAACAUGAUAAGCCGACACCUAAUAAGGAUUAGGAGAACAACAGAUAUGCUAAGAGACAACCUUUUGGGGUUAAGGAUAUAAACAACAACAGGGCUUAUGAGGCCGAAGAGAGCUCGAGUGGCGUCUUUUGGUUCUUGAAGAGCUGCACGUUCUUGGUGGAGUAGAGCAAAAUAAUUUGGAGGCUUUAAAGCUACUGCACUUCAUGUAGUUAGGAUCAAUUCUUUGUUUUAGUUUGAAAUAUUCCCCAUUUCCUCCUAUUUGAUUGAUUCAUCUGAUGGACAUUUUGUCAGGCAAAUAAACAAAAGGCAUAUGUAUUAUUACGAGUGAAGCCAUCCAUACUCCCAUGUGGAAUUCAAGAAAUAGAAAAUGUUAUUGUUCUUCUACUAA